rnacentral:rRNA from 1 species
ACGGAAGGCAGCAGUAGGGAAUAUUGGACAAUGGGGGAAACCCUGAUCCAGCGACGCCGCGUGAGUGAAGAAAUAUUUCGGUAUGUAAAGCUCUAUCAGCAGGGAAGAAAAUGACGGUACCUGACUAAGAAGCACCGGCUAAAUACGUGCCAGCAGCCGCGGUAAUACGUAUGGUGCAAGCGUUAUUCGGAUUUACUGGGCGUAAAGGGAGCGUAGACGGCAUGGCAAGUCUGAAGUGAAAUGCGGGGGCUCAACCCCUGAACUGCUUUGGAAACUGGCAAGCUAGAGUGUCGGAGAGGUAAGUGGAAUUCCUAGUGUAGCGGUGAAAUGCGUAGAUAUUAGGAGGAACACCAGUGGCGAAGGCGGCUUACUGGACGAUAACUGACGUUGAGGCUCGAAAGCGUGGGGAGCAAACAGGAUUAGAUACCCUGGUA